AAGCCAGAGGUGCAUGGUUCUGCAGUGAUUACAAGGAAACUGUUGAAGUGGAAAUUGUUGCCAUGGAGCUGCUGUCACAGAGGUUUCAGGAGUAUUCCAGAACUUGGAUGGUAAAGGAGAUGGAUUUUUGUGGAUGGACUCUUAGGAGGGGUUUUUCCUCAAAGGGUUCAGCAGUCUGGUGUUUUGGGAGCUGUUAUUCUCACAAGUGCUUGUCCUAAUUUGUGCCCACAGCUUCUGCAAGCAGUGGUUGGUAAAGAGUCUUAUCUGCCAGAACCGAGGUCAUGUAAUAGAUGAUUCUGCUUCUUUCUGUGCAGGAAAGUGUGUCUUAAAGCAAAGACUGCUGUGAAAGUGUCUGCAGCUAGGGGUGGCCAACCUGUGACUCCAGAGCCGCAUGCAGGUCUUCAGAAGAUAAUAUGUGGCUCCUGCUAACAGCUGACUCUGAGGAAAAAUGGUGGUUCCUCAGCACCCACCAGCAGCCCCAUCAGCCCCUCUUCCCUCCCCCAGGGCCUACCACCCACUGGCGGCACCCCCGAUCAGCGCCUCCUCCUCCCUCCCCCGUGCCUCCCGCCCAUUGCGAUCAGCUGGUUUGUGAUGCACAGGAGGCUCGGGGUGGGGGGAGAGGGAGAGCGAGAACA